rnacentral:tRNA from 1 species
GUCCCAGUAGCCCAACCUGGUAGAGGCAAAAGGCUGUCAACCUUUUUAAGGUGUGAGUUCGAAUCCCAUCUGGGACACCC